rnacentral:rRNA from 1 species
UGCGCAGGCGGAAUAAUAAGUCAGUGGUGAAAUCCCCCGGCUCAACCGGGGAACUGCCAUUGAUACUGUUAUUCUAGAGUACAGUUGGGGUAGGCGGAAUGUGUCAUGUAGCGGUGAAAUGCUUAGAUAUGACACAGAACACCGAUCGCGAAGGCAGCUUACCAAGCUGAAACUGACGCUGAGGCACGAAAGCGUGGGGAGCAAACAGGAUUAGAUACCCUGGUAGUCC